GGUGGUGUUGCUCAGAUGGUAGAGCGCUCGCUUUGCAUGCGGAAGAACGGGGAUCGAUACCCCGCGCUUUCA